GUUUGUUCAUCCAGAACGUUUACUUGGAGCGUGGAUCCUAGACUGCGGGAUGCAUAUUGAGAUUAAGAAAAGCGUCCAUUAUUCUUCAGUGUACCUUCAAGUUCCAUCUCCGAUCCUUGCUCUCGGAUGGACUGGUCGCUCGAUACGAUCUGUCGUGGACUGAGCGCAUCCAGUGAGCACCCACCGUAACGUCUGUACCGCCGGUGCGAAUGGAGCACCCAGUCAGAACGGCUUUGCCACACCACUGGGGGUGUCGGCUCGAGGCGUGGUUCAUUGAACAAGGAAUCCGGCCUCUUCGUCCUGCUGGGAGCGUGCGAGUUGCGCAGCCAGCUCUUCAGCUUGCGGCAGCGUGGAGCGAUAUGCUUGGAGACUUCCGUGACCAGGUCGACGCCCAGAGACAGCCCAACCGCUCCUAGUCCCAGAAUGAACUGCGUGGCGAACGAGUUCCUUGCGUCUUGCUCCUGAGCCCGGCAAUGCAGAGGCACACGGAGCGCAAGCCCGGUAGACUCGUCCGGUUCGCGGGGCCUCCUGCCCCCAGAAGCGUAACACUCGAAUACGCGGAAAACGUCUCCCUGUCAAUGCUUACCGUGAAGUUUGAACGACAUUCUUAUCUAGACGCUAGUUAGAAUUUGGUUUCUCUCGUUUUGUUUCUGGUAUCUCGUUCAGUGUGUUCACUGAUUGCAUGCGACUGAUGCAUGGUACCAGUAUCCCCUGGAUGCGCGACUGUUGUCGACAACCAUCGAAGCGAAGACGACGUUUCCCGCGAAGAAUGACGACGCUUGGUGCCGUCGAGUGAUUGCUCUAUCGACUUUCGGGGAAAGUGAGCGCGCACGCCCGUAGACUAGUCCAAGGGCAGAAAGCUGUGAAGAACGCGUAUCCACAUGCGCCAGCAGGUUGCAUGCGAGCACUCCUCUAUGCAGACAGCGUCGGAUAACAGAGAUUCUGGCUCCAUGCUCUGCUGCUUGGUAUGAAGCGCGGGUUCAUGAAUGAAGGUGUCAGGUCGAGACACGCUGGAUCACUGCUGCGCGAUAGGUUACCAAGCAGCGGCGCCUGCGUGAAAAAGGUUUUUCCCAAGAGUGUAUGUUUGAAGAGCGGCGCACGCGAAAUCGUGUCCAAUGUACCCGCGUGUAUUUGCAUAGGGCGUCAUCGACACGUUCCUUGAGCAGCGACAUCGGGCACUCCUUGUUGAUCUAUGUUUGUCUGUGUGUCUGUGUGUUUGUGUGUGAAUACGGAAGAGCGCCUGCUGCAUUCGAGCAUAGGCAAAAUACCCUGUACCGCCGUACCGUCGGCGUCUAGUCCAGUACCUGCUGCGACCGGCACGCUGCACAGACCGCGCAGGGUUCCCCAUUUGGCAGACAGACCUCAGCGCGCACUGCUGCUGUUCUCGCUGCUGCAGUGCGCCGAACAUCCUAGUGCCAAACGCGGAGGCAACAGCUAGGCAUCGGCGAUGUGCUACGACCACCGACGUGACUGGUAGACGACGCUUGCGACGACUGCGUCGCUGAACAGCAAAGUCAUGUCCAAACUGUAGCUCUGCUGGCCGUAUAUGCCGAUCUUUACAGACGCCAACGCACCAAGUCAAGCUGAGACGAUAUCGCUUGUCCAGCUCAUGAAGCAUGCGUCGCCACUUUGAUAUCUGGUUACCGACACUGCAGCAUGGAGCGUUCGAGUUGUGCUUCACCUUUGCCAUCUGCGGAACGCUUGAGGAAAUGCCCGCACUCGUUCCUUGUUCAGGUAUCGCGACAUCUUGCUGGUUCAAUAUCAUGCGGGAGUCGCGUGCUGAAUUGUUCGCGAAACGCUACCUAGCGACGAGUCUCCGUCUCUGCGGUUUGCAUCGGCUGCGACUGGAGCUCGCCUCGACGAGAUUUGACCCAAGGCCAACGCAGCCAAGGCCAGGUCCGCCGCUUAGGUUCAGCGGCUGCCGCCCUAGCGCUCGCUUCCGCCGUAUGCUGAAGCUGCUCGUUAAGCUCAAAUACACGAAUAAACACGCUCUCGAGGGAGGUGCCACUCACCGAAAAGUCGGCAAUUCCCCAGCCGCUGGCA